GAAAAUAAAAAUUAAAUAAAAUUAAGUAAGACAUUAAGAAAUGUGGAAAAUAUUUUUAUGAAUAAAGAAAAUAUUUUUUAUUAGUUAAAAUCAAAACAGAAUUAAAAUAAGAAUUAAAAAAAAGAAAAUGAAAAUGGGAAAUGGAUCAGUUGAUGGGCCAGGAAAUGGAGGUAUGAAGAGCGAAUGGCAUAGGCCCAUGGUCCACAACCAUUAAAUCCAGCGUGACACACAUUAAAGUAACAUUUUAAUAAGAAAAUUCAUGUAACAUAAUAUCAAUUGGGCAAUGCAACUUAAGUGACUAAAUGACAAAAUA
rnacentral:lncRNA from 1 species